AAAAAUUUAGUUAAAUUUAUAACAUUAGUUUGUCAAACUAAAAUUAUUUAAAAAAUAAUUUUUA
rnacentral:tRNA from 1 species